CAGUCGCCGCGGGAACACGAAGGGUGCAAGCGUUAAUCGGAAUUACUGGGCGUAAAGCGCGCGUAGGUGGUUUGGUAAGAUGGAUGUGAAAUCCCCGGGCUCAACCUGGGAACUGCAUCCAUAACUGCCUGACUAGAGUACGGUAGAGGGUGGUGGAAUUUCCUGUGUAGCGGUGAAAUGCGUAGAUAUAGGAAGGAACACCAGUGGCGAAGGCGACCACCUGGACUGAUACUGACACUGAGGUGCGAAAGCGUGGGGAGCAAACAGGAUUAGAUACCCCUGUAGUCCCUGUCUCUUAUAC
rnacentral:rRNA from 1 species